CAAUUUUCAUCCCGCAAAGUUGUGUGCGAAUUUAACCUUCGCUCUGCUCCCUUUUCUAGGGAACGAAAAGAUCAGUGCCAGUGUAGAAGCCAAACGGUAGGAGCCCCGCUGUGCCAUUUUCCCAAUACUGACCCGGUUGGCUGAAGUUCGCUUUUGAAAGUGAUCGCGAGUGAAGACGAAGCCCCGGUGUACCAUUGACGUCGAUUGGCCCGGCUGGCAAGAUUUCAUCUCGAGUGCAAAAAGUGAGCGAUAAGAAGCCCCGGUGUGCCAUUCGACCCAUUCUAGCACGGCUGUUCUACGACCUCUCCCGUGAAGACGGAACCUGACCAAGCCACCCCUGAAGCUGCGUCAUGUGUCCUGUUGAUUCCGUUCUGAUUCAUAGAUACCUUUCAACCACCACCGGUGCAUGCUCCCUGCUGCGGAUGCCUAACUCUUGCGGUGUGGCACAGGAUCGAGUAUUUUACACCCCGACUUUGGAAUCCCACGCGACCAUUGCAACACCAACGACGGCAGCAGCAUCACCAAGCAAGACAAGGAUGAAGUUUUUCUUCUCGCCUCCAGCUGUGUAGCGUUAAGAGGUCCGACAAAGUUUUUUACGGAUCGUCUCACAAACUCUCUCUCUCUUCUCACUUCACUGCCAAAGACUGGAGGGCAUCGUUUACUUGCUGCAACCGCAGAACAACAACCAUCCUCUCCAGUGGGUUGUGCUGAUUUUCCCCGAAUGUCAUUUCCCCGAAUAAACUUUCUCCACGAGUGACUCAAAAAGUAA